GGGCACCCGAGGGUGUAAGCCUGAAUCAUGGAGCUGUUUCCUUGGAUGCAGAAAGCUGGAGCGGCACCUGGUGGAAGGAGCAUUGGUUUGGGGCAGGAAAUCGACACCCAGAAACAGGCGGUGAUGGGCAGCAGGGGCCUCUGUGGCAGAAGGUCUCACGCUACACGGUACUGUCCGGGUCCUUGCACGGGUGUUCUGGAGGUGCAGGGAGGCCUCCCCUCGGUCGUUCAAGGCAGGAAUGGAUCUGCGGCGUGAGGCCGACGGUGACUUGCUUUCUCCCAGCUCCUGGGGCCACAGUGCGUUCAUUCCCCUCCCCUCCCCUCCACUCCCCUCCCCUCCCUUCCCCUCUCCUCCACUCUCCUUUCCUCUCCUUUCCUUUCCUUCUUUUUUUGAGAUGGAGUCUCACUCUGUCACCCAGGCUGGAGUGCAAUGGCGUGAUCUCAGCUCCUUGCAACCUCCAUCUCCUGGGUUCAAGGGAUUCUUCCGCCUCAGCCUCCUGAGUAGCUGGG
rnacentral:lncRNA from 1 species